rnacentral:rRNA from 1 species
UACGUAGGGUGCAAGCGUUGUCCGGAAUUAUUGGGCGUAAAGAGCUCGUAGGCGGUUUGUCGCGUCGGCUGUGAAAACCCGAGGCUCAACCUCGGGCCUGCAGUCGAUACGGGCAAACUAGAGUGUGGUAGGGGAGACUGGAAUUCCUGGUGUAGCGGUGAAAUGCGCAGAUAUCAGGAGGAACACCGGCGGCGAAGGCGGGUCUCUGGGACGGUACUGACGCUGAGACGCGAAAGCGUGGGGAGCGAACAGG